GGCUCAUUAUAACAGCUAUAAUUUACUUGAUCUUGACACAAUCCUACUUGGAUAACUGUGGUAAUUCUAGAGCUAAUACAUGCAUUAAAGCUCUGACCUCACGGGAAGAGUGCAUUUAUUAGAACAAAACCAAGCGGCUUCGGCUGUUUCUGGUUGACUCAUAGUAACUGAGCUGAUCGCAUGGUCUUGCACCGGCGACGUGUCUUUCAAGUAUCUGCCGUAUCAACUUUCGAUGGUAGUGUAUCUGACUACCAUGGUGAUCACGCGUAACGGAGAAUAAGGGUUCGGCUCCGGAGAGUUCGCCUGAGAAAUCGCGAACACAUCUAAGGAAGGCAGCAGGCGCGAAAAUUACCCACUCUCAGCACGAGGAGGUAGUGACGAAAAAUAACGAGACCGUUCUCUUAUGAGGCCGGUCAUCGGAAUGGGUACAAUUUAAACCCUUUAACGAGUAUCUAUGAGAGGGCAAGUCUGGUGCCAGCAGCCGCGGUAAUUCCAGCUCUCAAAGUGCAUAGAAUUAUUGCUGCGGUUAAAAAGCUCGUAGUUGGAUCUGUGCCAUAGGACGUGGUCCACCUUCGGGUGCGUACUACGCUCCUAGGCUUUUUGCUGGUUUUCCCGUCGUAGCCUUCACUGGUUGCGGCGGGUGGCUGGCGAGUUUACUUUGAGAAAAUCAGAGUGCUCAAUACAGGCGUAUCGCUUGAAUGAUUGUGCAUGGAAUAAUAGAAAAGGAUUUCGGUCCUCUUUUAUUGGUUUUGUGGACUGAGAUAAUGGUUAACAGGGACAAACGGGGGCAUUCGUAUCUCUGCGUGAGAGGUGAAAUUCUUGGACCGUAGAGAGACGCCCUACUGCGAAAGCAUUUGCCAAGAAUGUC
rnacentral:rRNA from 1 species